rnacentral:rRNA from 1 species
UCUGGGCGUAAGCGCACGCAGGCGGUCUGUCAAGUCGGAUGUGAAAUCCCCGGGCUCAACCUGGGAACUGCAUUCGAAACUGGCAGGCUAGAGUCUUGUAGAGGGGGGUAGAAUUCCAGGUGUAGCGGUGAAAUGCGUAGAGAUCUGGAGGAAUACCGGUGGCGAAGGCGGCCCCCUGGACAAAGACUGACGCUCAGGUGCGAAAGCGUGGGGAGCAAACAGGAUUAGAUACCCUGGUAGUCCACGCCGUAAACGAUGUCGAUUUGGAGGUUGUGCCCUUGAGGCGUGGCUUCCGGAGCUAACGCGUUAAAUCGACCGCCUGGGGAGUACGGCCGCAAGGUUAAAACUCAAAUGAAUUGACGGGGGCCCGCACAAGCGGUGGAGCAUGUGGUUUAAUUCGAUGCAACGCGAAGAACCUUACCUGGUCUUGACAUCCACAGAACUUUCCAGAGAUGGAUUGGUGCCUUCGGGAACUGUGAGACAGGUGCUGCAUGGCUGUCGUCAGCUCGUGUUGUGAAAUGUUGGGUUAAGUCCCGCAACGAGCGCAACCCUUAUCCUUUGUUGCCAGCGGUUAGGCCGGGAACUCAUAGGAGACUGCCAGUGAUAAACUGGAAGAAGGUGGGGAUGACGUCCAGUCAUCAUGGCCCUUACGACCAGGGCUACACACGUGCUACAAUGGCGCAUACCAAGAGAAUCGACCUCGCGAGAGCAAGCGGACCUCAUAAAGUGCGUCGUAAUCCGGAUUGGAGUCUG